AUGCCCGAAGACUCCAUGAUAAUUUCUGAGGUCAGAGUGAAUGAAAGCGAAGAAAAUUUGACACACAACAAAGGACCUGACUUGACUCAUGCUGUAGAAAAAUUAGUGCAACAAGAAAGCAUCCAAGUAAAGUCUGUUCAAGCUCAAGAUAAAGAAGAAUUGUUCGAGACUUUUGCUCCUGAAAAUCGACAAGCAGACGUACAACUGUCGGCUGUAGACUCACUGGUAAUGACAGAAACUCAGCCUGAAGAGCGUGAAACUACCUUGUCAGAGGAGGAAAAACCAACAAUGAAAAAGGUUGAAACGAAUGUCUGUUGUUUGGAAACUUCUUUAACAUCACAAGUGAUAUUCCAUGAAGCAGAAAGCGAGUUCAGCCCUAAGCAAAAGCCAACUGAAGUUUUACCUAAUACAGUCUAUCAACCACAGGAAUCUUUGUCUGUGACUGAAGCUAUUCCAGGCGAUGCUUUCUCUGAAUUUGUGAAGCCACUGAAAUUUGUCCCAGAAGAGGCUUCCGUUGGUCAUGAAAUGGUCGAAGCUACCCGAGUUACUCAAGUUAUAGCGCAAGAAUGUGAAAACACAUUCACUGAGAAGACUCCGACAUUCUCUCAUGGAUUACAAGGGGUUGUACCUCAAACCAGUAUCACAGUCACAGAAUUGGAAACGGCAGAAAAAGAGAGUUGUUUACCCCAGCUUGAAUUGCCAGAAAGCCAUCGGAGCAAACCAGUUCCCACUCACCAUUUGCCAGUGGCAAAUGUUGAUGAAGUUUUGCCCAAUACUGCCGCAGGGGAUUUGGAGAAACAAAAACCUACUGCAGUUAUAGCCAAAAUUGAUCACAGUCCAUUUCAAGAAACUGUUGUGGAGGAAGCUGUCAUCGGGGAAGCUUACAGCAAAUUCAAAGAAGGAGUCAAGCGAAUUGGACACCAGGCAUCCAUCUCAUUUUCUGAGCAAGAUAGUGUGCAUAUAACAGAAACAAUUGCAGAAGACCAAGAAGUUCGUAUGUCCUCUCCAGAAAGGCUCUCAUCACAAGUUGCAGAAUGCUCCAUUUUACCGCAGAAUACAGCAAUUAAGACUGAAAUACUACCAGAGUUAAGUGUCUCUCCCCUAAAAGAUGUCAAAAGUAGAACUGAUGUAGCUAAGGUUACAUCUGAAACUGCUUUUGAAAGUAUUCAAGUCGUUGCAAUUGAUUAUGCAGAAAAAGAAAGUGAACUUAAGAAAGAUGUCAAACCUGAUGAGAAACAUGCUGUACUUGAGUUAACUGAUGCAGUUUCUGGUAUCCUGGUCACAGAAAUCACUAGUGCUGAGUCAGAAACUGAUUUUAAACGUGAUUCUCCAGACAAACGUAAGGCAGUGCCUGGCUACUCUCCUCAGUUAGUUGCUGAAAAAACUGAAAUUGUACCCCAGAGUAGCGUUAAAGAAAUAGUCCGUAUGUCCCCGGAGAAAGCUCAUGGAGUUCCUGAGCAGGAACAAUAUCAAGGUUUAGAGCAGUCAGAAAUUGCACCUAUCGAGCAGGAAGGAGAGUUUAAAACCAAGGUAAAGCCAGAAAAGAAGAAAGGUAAACCAUCUAUAGCAGAGAGUAGACUUAGUGCUGUUGUUGCUGUAGUGAAUCCCGACGAGAAGGAGUCAAUUUUGAUGCCUUUAGAAAAGCCAAAAAGUGAACUGGCGCACGCAGCUUUUACUGGAAAAAUUGUCGCUGAAGUCCUUGAAAAUAUGGAUCUCAGAACAGCAAAAAUCCUUGACACUAAGGAGUCUCCCAAAAGUUUGCCCAUCGUGAGCAAUCUCCUCAAGAAGGUUUACUCGUCUCAGAAACAACAAUCUCUGAAAAAGAACUUUCCUUUGAAAAGACGCAGGCAGAUAUGA
rnacentral:lncRNA from 1 species